rnacentral:misc_RNA from 1 species
AAGAAUUGCAUGCAAUUCUUUCCUUGAGUUGUCUUACACCAAAUACCAUGAAAGUUUGAAAAGAUGAUCACAAAACAGUAAGUUUUUAAGUGUUAUAUUGGCUCAAUAAAUUCUAAACUCCAUUAGUUGGGGGCAAAUAAGACUGAUGAGGUGAAGCUGGUGAGCCCUCUUCAAUGUCUAUAUCUUUCACACCAGCACUUAAUGAUGAAGAUGAGUCGCAUCUCCCAUCCUUUAGCUUAUUAUCACCAUUUUCAUCAUCAUCCUUGUCCUCAAAGAAAGAACCUUUCCGCCGGAGUUCCUUUACCUUUCGAAACUCAUCAUAGUGUGCUCGUCUGUGCUCCUUAAAACUUGCAUUCCUAUCUAAUUCAGAAUCUGGCAACAGUGAUUCAGAAUCUUCAUCUUGUUCCAUAGGAUCAGCCUCAUCCUCAGAUGAUGUCCAGCCACCAGAUCGCCUACCAGCGUUUCUACUGGAAGAAGCCACUGUAUCCAGUGCAGUCCGUAGUUCCUCUGCACGCAUUGCUUCACCAACAACAUCAUCAAAGCUGCCUCGCCUAGGAGACAGAGACCCAUCAUCAUCAAUCAUGGGGUGAUAAGGUGUCUUGGGUUCAGUUAUUUUCUGUCUCACGGGCUUAUUUGCUUCAAUUUCCCCUAUAUUUGCCUCAUCCCAUCUUACACGAGCCCUAUUACCUUUCAUUUUUAUGAACUUGCUAUCUCCUCUGUCACCAAUAAACACCAAGUAGUAGCUGAACGACCUGAUUCCACUGCGAAUUGCCCUUCCUGCUUGUUAUGUCUUGGAAUCGGCCCUUCGGUUUGUCUACUUUUCUUAUUGAACGAUGUUUUAUUUUCCAAUAAUACCCUUUUAUUCCAAUGCGUGAUGAAUCAGGUGGGGAUAGGCCCUGAUCUGGUUAUUACAACCGUACACUGUUU